rnacentral:lncRNA from 1 species
UUUCAUUAUCUGAGAAUAAACUUUUAUGGAUGCAGCCAUGCCUGUCUGUCCAUGUCUUAUCUGUGUCUGCUUUGUGCUACGGCUGCAGAGUGGAGUGGCUGGGACUGAGACGGAACGCCCUCCUCACGGGGCCGCGUCUCUCCACCAGGACCGCGGGGCUACUCUGAGGCUCUGCUUCUUCCCCAGCGGGGUUGGCUUCCUGCUAUUCCUCAGCAUCCUGCCUUGGUCCUGAGUUGGUCCCUCUGCCAAGAGCCGUUUCUGUGUCUCAGUGGAUGGCGCAGCUGCCUUCUUGCUGGUACCUUGACUGAUAGACUGGUUCCUGUUCACCUGCCCGAAGUCAUCCCAGAAAUACCUCUUACAGUUGCAUGGGUUGAACCCAGCUCCGCGUGUAUUUAGAGUUUUGUCUCUUGCCCCUUCACCCAGAACAGCAGCACCCACCACCUUCCCGUCCCCUGUGACUGCCUCGCAACUGGGUCUGUUCUGUGAGAUGUCGCCACCCUGUUUGCCAUCUGGGAGGAUCUCACUCCUUCAAUUUAAUCUGCUCUCUUCCGUUAUUUUUUUAGUUUCUAUGUAUUUUACUUUUAGGACAUUCCUUGGACUUUGUUCUACCUCUUUAAUUGAUGAAGAAAAUUUGGUCAUUGUAUCUGGUUUUUUUUUUUGAGACAGAGUCUCGCUCUGUUGCCCAGGCUGGAGUGCGGUGGCACAAUCUCGGCUCACUGCAACCUCCACCUCACUGCAACCUCCGCCUCCCGGGUUCAAGCGAUUCUCCUACCUCAGCCUCCCGAGUAGCUGGAUUACAGGCUCCUGCCACCACGCCUGGCUAAUUUUUGUAUUUUUAGUAGAGAUGGGGUUUUGCCAUGUUUGCCAGGCUGGUCUCCAACUCCUGACCUCAGGUGAUCCUCUCGCCUCGCACUCCCAAAGUGCUGGGAUUAUAGGUGUCAGCCACUGCACCCAAUCUAUUGUAUUUAAUUCUAAGCACUUUCUUCCAGACGGUCUCACUCUGUCACCCAGGCUGAAGUGCAGUGGUGUGAUCUCAGCUCACAGCAGCCUCAACCUCCCAGGCUCAAGCAGUCCUCCCACCUUGGCCUCCCAGAGUGCUGGGAUUACAGGCACGAGCCAUUAUGCCCAGCCCGUCUUUCUUCAUUUUGAUUACAGUGUGCGUACUGUACAUCCGAGAAGUGCAUGUGAAAUGCUGGAACUGGGAUUUCAGCAACUGAAUGCACGUGUGUGACUACCCACGAGAAGCAGGACACUUAGCACCUGCUGAGAAGCCCCCACGCCCAUGUUCCCUUCUAGGCACUGCACAGGCAUGCUGGCCGGCCUGACCUCAGUUUCCCUCUUGCUGUGGCCGCUUCUGCUCCACUCUCUGUGAGGCUCAUCCACCUUGUUGCCUGUGGUUGUGGAUUGUUCAUUCUCAGUGCUCUGUAUGCCAAGUACUCCAUUGUGUGAAAAUCCCACAGCACGUUCAUUCUAUUAUCAAUGGGCAUUUGGGUAGUUUCCACAGUUUGGCUGUUAGGAAUAGUGCAGUGAUGAACAUGCUGGCACCUGUCUUCUGUUUUUUUUUUAUUUUUAGAGACAGGGUCUUGCUCUGUUACCCAGGCUGGAGUGCAGUGGUGUGACCUUGGCUCGCUGGGCCUCCUGGGCUCAAGCGAUCCUCCCACCUCAGUCUCCUGAGUAGCUGGGACUGCAGGUGUGUGCCUGCGUGCUGGCUAAUUUUUGUAGUUUUUGUAGAGAUGGUGUCUUGCUCUGCUGCCCAGGCUGGUCUCGAACUUCUGGCCUCAAGCAGUCCUCCUGCCUUAGUUUCCCAAAGCACUGGGAUUACAGGUGUGAGCCACUGCCCCCGGCCAGCACCCGUCUUCUGGAACAUUUGUAAGCAUUUCUGUUGGGUGUGUACUUGCGCGUGGAAUUGCUGGCUCUCAGUUAUGCACAUUUCUUAGAAGAUCCUGCCAGUCCUUCAUCCCAGACCCCGACCCCAGCGUGGAAAACGCAGUGCAUCCUCAACGCCUAGUGUUUGCGGCUGUGGCGGCUCAUGAUCGACUUGGAAGGCCCACAGUGUGUGGUGUGGAGUUUUGCAGGGAGCCAGUGACACUGCCCACCUUCGAUCCAGACCUAACCUUGAUCCUGUUCUCUGAGGCCACCUUACCAAAACCUUGACUUACCCGUCUUAGAUCACUUACCCUGGGGGAAAUGUGCCGCAAGCUCACGAGGGCACUCAGCCAGCCUACAAAGGUUACCAUGGCAGAGAACUGAGGCCUCCUGCCAGCAGCCAGCAGCAGCUGACCAGCCGCGAGGGCCCCUCCGGGAAGGAGAGCUUUCUGUGUUUCUUCCUGUACCCCAUAUAUGUUGACGUGAUACGUUUUACUUUCUGAUUUCCCUUGUGAGAUCUUUGGUCUGUGGGUUAUUUGGAAGUAUGGUUUAAUUUCCAAACAUUUAGGGUUUUCCUCCAGAUUUUGUUGUUGUUUCUGGUUUCUGGUUUUAAUUCCACUGUGGUCUCAGAAUAUACUUUGCUGACUUCCCUCUCUUUAGAUUUGUUGAGCCCUGUUUUGUGCUUCAUAGUGGGAGGGUGAUUGUAUGUGCACGUGCAGAUAUGUGUGGCCCCCACACGGUAUCUCCAGCUAUCCGUGUCUUGCCUCUCCGUGCCCAGUGCACCCUUCUCAGCCCUGCCGUGUGACCCUGGGCUGGGCCCUCCCUGUACCCUCCUUUGCAGGUUGGCACAGUGUUUGGCUCUGUCACUGGAAGGAGCUGGAGGGACUCCACAGGAGGGAGGGGCCUGCCCUCCUGGUUCCAGUGUGCUUGCUUUUCCUGGCUUCCGUGGUGUGUGCCUGCCAGCCUCAUGGUGGGGGCGGGGGCUCUCAGUGACAGUCUGCAGGAGUUUAGCAACACCCAGGUUCAUUCACCACGGUGGGAAGGAUUCCUGCUAAGCUUCCUUGCCUCUGUCCAGCUCCCAGGGCGUCUGCCUCCCUCCUGCCCCAGGGAGAGCUUCUGGGUGAGUCUCGCUGGCACUCCUGCCCCGGGCUUCCUGCUCUCAGGCCUUGGCCUGCUGCACCUUGGCCAACUGCACCACCCGGCACAUCAUAGCCCCACUCAGGUCAGAGCUGCGUCUCAGCCGACGUGGGGUUCCGAGGUUCUCACCAAGAUCCAGACUCAACGCUUGUGGGUUUGUUGUCUCAGUCCUGGCGGUGGAGGUUCUCCCGAGGCCUCAGCGCCUCCGUUCUCGGAAGUCUCUUUACAUGUUAGUGGAACCCUCUGUUCCUGUUGAAUCAUUCUUCGUGUUAAAUGUUUCUAUCUCUUGACUGAUACAUGAUAGUCAUCAUGUAUGUAUUCUGCGGCUGCUUUUGUUUUUUUCUCUUUAUCCCUGGUUUUCUGUAAUUUGAUAAGCUUUAGGGUAUGUGUGUGUGUUUUGGGGGUUUGUCAAGAUUUGUAGGCUUUGUCAUUUUUAUGCAAUUUGGAAAUAUUCUAGCUAUUCGGUCUCUUCCCCUGCCUCCUGCAGUCCCAGGUACUCGAAUGGGCUGCUUGCUGUGGACUCAUGGGUCCGUGAGUCUGCUCAUCUUCUUCAGUUUGCGUUUCAUUUUUGGUAGAUUCUGUUUCCACGUCUUCAAGCCCACUGAUCUUUUAAGCUGCUGUUAAGCUAUGGCCAUUUUCUGUAUGAGCCAUUGUGUUUUUUCAUCUCUAUAAAUUUGGUUUUGGUAUUUAAAAAAAUGUCUUCCAGCUAGGCUGGCGGCUCACACCUGUGAUCCCAACACUUUGGGAAGUUGAGGCAGGGGGAUUGCUUGAGCCCAGGAGUUUGAGACUAGCCUGGGCAAUACAGUGAGACCUCAUCUUUAAAAAUAAUUAAAAAGGUCAGGUGCGGUGGCUCACGCCUGUAAUCCCAGCAUUUUGGGAGGACAGUGGAUCACAAGGUUAGGAGUUUGAGACCAGCUUGGCCAAUAUGGUGAAACCCUGUCUCUACUAAAAAUAUAAAAAAUUAGCUGGGCACAUGCCUGUUGUCCCAGUUAUUUGAGAG